CGAACGCGUUGGCCCAAUUGAUUGAUGGUGCUUGCACCUGAUUGAUUUUGGUCGCCAACGAGUGGCGGACGGGUGAGUAACACGUAGGUAACCUGCCCAGAAGCGGGGGACAACAUUUGGAAACAGAUGCUAAUACCGCAUAACANCGUUGUUCGCAUGAACAACGCUUAAAAGAUGGCUUCUCGCUAUCACUUCUGGAUGGACCUGCGGUGCAUUAGCUUGUUGGUGGGGUAACGGCCUACCAAGGCGAUGAUGCAUAGCCGAGUUGAGAGACUGAUCGGCCACAAUGGGACUGAGACACGGCCCAUACUCCUACGGGAGGCAGCAGUAGGGAAUCUUCCACAAUGGGCGCAAGCCUGAUGGAGCAACACCGCGUGAGUGAAGAAGGGUUUCGGCUCGUAAAGCUCUGUUGUUAAAGAAGAACACGUAUGAGAGUAACUGUUCAUNCGUUGACGGUAUUUAACCAGAAAGUCACGGCUAACUACGUGCCAGCAGCCGCGGUAAUACGUAGGUGGCAAGCGUUAUCCGGAUUUAUUGGGCGUAAAGAGAGUGCAGGCGGUUUUCUAAGUCUGAUGUGAAAGCCUUCGGCUUAACCGGAGAAGUGCAUCGGAAACUGGAUAACUUGAGUGCAGAAGAGGGUAGUGGAACUCCAUGUGUAGCGGUGGAAUGCGUAGAUAUAUGGAAGAACACCAGUGGCGAAGGCGGCUACCUGGUCUGCAACUGACGCUGAGACUCGAAAGCAUGGGUAGCGAACAGGAUUAGAUACCCUGGUAGUCCAUGCCGUAAACGAUGAGUGCUAGGUGUUGGAGGGUUUCCGCCCUUCAGUGCCGGAGCUAACGCAUUAAGCACUCCGCCUGGGGAGUACGACCGCAAGGUUGAAACUCAAAGGAAUUGACGGGGGCCCGCACAAGCGGUGGAGCAUGUGGUUUAAUUCGAAGCUACGCGAAGAACCUUACCAGGUCUUGACAUCUUGCGCCAACCCUAGAGAUAGGGCGUUUCCUUCGGGAACGCAAUGACAGGUGGUGCAUGGUCGUCGUCAGCUCGUGUCGUGAGAUGUUGGGUUAAGUCCCGCAACGAGCGCAACCCUUGUUACUAGUUGCCAGCAUUAAGUUGGGCACUCUAGUGAGACUGCCGGUGACAAACCGGAGGAAGGUGGGGACGACGUCAGAUCAUCAUGCCCCUUAUGACCUGGGCUACACACGUGCUACAAUGGACGGUACAACGAGUCGCGAACUCGCGAGGGCAAGCAAAUCUCUUAAAACCGUUCUCAGUUCGGACUGCAGGCUGCAACUCGCCUGCACGAAGUCGGAAUCGCUAGUAAUCGCGGAUCAGCAUGCCGCGGUGAAUACGUUCCCGGGCCUUGUACACACCGCCCGUCACACCAUGAGAGUUUGUAACACCCAAAGUCGGUGGGGUAACCUUUUAGGAGCCAG
rnacentral:rRNA from 1 species